GGGGAUAUAACUCAGUUGGUAGAGUACUUGCCUAGCAUGCAUAAGGCCCUGGGUUCAAUCCCCAGUCCCA
rnacentral:tRNA from 1 species